UAUCGAAACGUAUGUAUAACGGAAAUAGGAAUGCUUUGUAAUGUCGUUAUUUCCGGCUGCGAUCUGGCCCAUGAUACACGAGUGUUAGCCGUUUGGGCUUCAAGCGGGCGUUCAAGUCCAAAAACUGGGCACGGAGGCUACAUGUGAUUGACCGAAUGAAACCCAUCCUACUGCAGGGCCACGAACGGUCCAUCACUCAGAUCAAGUACAACGGAGAAGACCUUCUGUUUUCCGUCGCUAAAGAUCCAGUGGCCAACGUGUGGUACUUGGUACCUACGACGGGGACAGCAAAAUGUUUUGACACUAUCAGCUGACAACAGCAGUCGACUGUGGGACUGCGAGACCGGUGGGUGAAAAGAAAAUGUGUGUGAUAGAAGUUUCUGAAUCCCUCAGGAGUUACAGCAGCAGUACAGCACCAAAACAACAAUAAAAAUGUACAAAUAGAACACGUGGGUUUGAUUUCAGCGGCAACAUCAUGUUUUCCACAGACAAGCAGAUGGGCUGUCAGUGUUUCAUGAACUUGUUUGACCUGAGGGAUCCACAGAUCGUAUUCCGGAGAAGUCCUGGAGAAAGCUGAGGAGCACAGCAGGCACAUCAAUGACAUCCAGACCUCACCAUGUUCAUCAGUGCCUCAAAGGACAACACCGCCAAGGUGAGUACUCUUAUGGAAAUGAUUGAUGUGAUAACAGUUGUUGAAAAAUGUUAGAAAGUCAUCAGAAUGACACCUGGCUGGCCAUCAAGAAGAACGUAGAAAAGAGUUUUGUUGUUAGCCUUAAAAAUAAAACCUGAGUUUUAGGCAAAUAAAGAAAAAAAGUUGUCUAUGAAGAUUCUCAGUCAUCCAGGUCAAGGUGGAAGAGUUACGUUAGGCAACUGGGCGUGAAAUUUUCUCAAGAAGACGUUUGGCCUCUCAUCCAAGAGGCUUCUUCAGUUCUAAUUGGUGGAGGGGACUACAGCAAAUAUACCCUGUUGGGUGGGCCGUUGGGGUCAUGUUAACAGUCGUUAGGAGUCUGAUGGGUCGUUGUAAUCCUCAUCAGAAUGGUUUUGGUAUGUGGGUGUCUUAGCCCACCUCCUCUGUUGAGUGAAAAUUUCAUGUCCAGUUGCCUAAUGGAAUUCUUCAACAAAGAAAAGAGUUAUUGUUUUUCUUUUAACUCUUGUAUUUGUCACUGUUUAUAUAUGUAUGGAAAUGUGAGGUGACCCUCCUGUCAUUUGUGCUUGAGACCCCCGCUCCAAAGUAGAACAACAGAAAUAAGUGAAUGAUAAAUGUAUUUGAAGAUAUCUAUUGAUAGAUUGUUAUACAAAUGUGUGUAAACUGAAGUAAACAUUGACAAUUUGCUGGCGGUUGUAAGGAGAUCGACAGUAGUAGGUGUGUGGUAAUGUGAAUUACUGACUUAUGUACUUAUAGUGAAAUAGCAAAUUGCACGUGAUUUGAUUUUUUCAAUUGUACAGUCUGCUUUUCGUUCGGGUUAAAUGGCAUUUCAUCUGAGUUGACUUAACUGAUACCACAGCAUUGUUGCUUUUUUUUGGUAAUGUCAAUUAUCUAAUUUACUUUAUAAUGUGGCACAAAUGCUCAUUACAUGCUUCCAAGUGAAUCAUUUGUGCUAAAAAAAAAAACCUCCAGAAAACAUUAUAUCUGAACAUGUAAAAA